CCUUUUUUUGUUAAUUUACCUUUUAUUAAAAACAUCACAAUCUGCGGUGUUUUCUUUUAUUGAACACCUUAAUUCAUAAUUAAUUUUUCUACAAUAACAAUUAGUGCGUUGACCUAUUUACAUACUUUACAUGAUCAUUUAUUUAAUAUUAUAUAUUUUUACAUUUUAACAACAACACAAUCAUUAUUAUGUAUUAAUACAUGAUUAUUUUUUCCAAAAUCCCAAUUUGUGCUAUUCACAAUAGAUUUUUGAUCUGUAGAUGGAGUCUACAUGUAAUAAUUUUGCGUUGACAUAGUGACCCAAUUAUUUUGAAAAUUAAAAAACUUAAAUAAACUUUUCAAAAGAGAUGGAUAAAUUUGGAAAUCAAAGAUGACCAAUUAAAUUAUGUAUUGACGCAGAGAUGGUUUGCUGAGCUGAAAGUGGAUACCAAAUUUCAUCGCAAGUUAAUUUUGCAUUAUAGUAUAAUGUAUGUAAAUAUGAAUGGAGAUUCAAGGACCGAACAUGCUUUUAUUAUUUUUCAUAUAUGUAUCCCAAAUUUUUAGUUCUGUAAAGGUACAUAUAUUUCAUUGUGUUUUUUUUUUAUCUCUUUUUAGGUGCAGAUGAAGCCGAAACACAAUAUAUUUGGCAGUAUAGUCAACUCCAAGAAUAAACCUUUCUUUAAGGAGAUUUGGGAGAUCUUUGAACGAACCACUCUUUAUAACACGUCCCGGAGGACAGUAAAGUACACCAACAUCGAAAUUAUGUUUAUAAGACUGUUCGUACAGAAACAAAUUGGUUAUCGUCUCUUUUUACUUUACUUAUUUCAUUAUGUUUUAUAUUAUUCCUUAAAUAAAUAUUC